GACGAACGCUGGCGGCGUGCUUAACACAUGCAAGUCGAACGGAAAGGCCCUGCUUUUGUGGGGUGCUCGAGUGGCGAACGGGUGAGUAACACGUGAGUAACCUGCCCUUGACUUUGGGAUAACUUCAGGAAACUGGGGCUAAUACCGGAUAGGAGCUCCUGCUGCAUGGUGGGGGUUGGAAAGUUUCGGCGGUUGGGGAUGGACUCGCGGCUUAUCAGCUUGUUGGUGGGGUAGUGGCUUACCAAGGCUUUGACGGGUAGCCGGCCUGAGAGGGUGACCGGCCACAGUGGGACUGAGAUACGGCCCAGACGCGUACGGGAGGCAGCAGUGGGGAAUAUUGCACAAGGGGCGGAAGCCUGAUGCAGCAACGCCGCGUGCGGGAUGACGGCCUUCGGGUUGUAAACCGCUUUCGCCUGUGACGAAGCGUGAGUGACGGUAAUGGGUAAAGAAGCACCGGCUAACUACGU
rnacentral:rRNA from 1 species